rnacentral:lncRNA from 1 species
GGGGGGAGAUGCAGUAGGAGGAGGCAAAGGGAGAGGAGGGGAGGGUGAAGAUGUGGGAGGAGGAAGAGAAGGAGGAGCUAUCAGCUGUGGCAGAGAGUGGAUGGUGGGUACUGCGCUGAGCAGACAAGUGUGAGACUGAGGCUGCCACAGCCUAAGCAGGUUGGGAAGAGAAGGAGGGCUUGAGGCCACAGCUGAAGUGGAACAGGAGGGAGAAGGGAGCCGGGGCCCAGGCUGAGUGCGCACAGUUGCGGCUGAAAAUGGAAGUCAUGGGUGGACAGGCCCCUGGGGGGCCUGGAGGUCUGGCAGCGGUAAAUAUGGGGCCUGAAGCCCUCAUCCUAGCAGUGGCAGUGGCUGGGGCUGGAGGAGGGCCGGGGCCUACGACAGCGGCCGGGAGUGGAUCAAGUCCAGAGUCCGAGACAUGGACAUGGACAUGGACAUGGAAGGGGGAGUGGUCAGGGCAGGAUAUAGCACUAGGCCCGACGUUGGCCGCUCUAUUGCUGCUGUACGCUGCAUUAUGGGCCAGUGUGGUAGAGCUGAGAUGGAGGGUCCUGGACCUUGCGCAGCAGCAGGAAGAAGAACCAGACCCAGAAGCAGGGGCAGAGGAAAGGGCAGAGACAAAGACAGAAGUAGACGCAGGGGCGGAAGCAAAGCAGGUGCAGGAGCAGGAGGCUAAACAGGAGUCAGAGCUCGAACACAAGCCAGAGGCAGUGCCCGAGAUGGAGAAGGAGCCAAAGGCAGAGCUGGAGGAGCUACGGGAGCCUUCGGGUGCUUGGGGCCCAAAGGAACCUGCAUCUUUAUGUGAGAUAGGGCCCUGGAUCAAUGGGCCUACGCCAAUGGUGUGCGCCUGCCCUAGGGAACUAGCAGGUUCAACGGUUGCUGUCCGCUCGGGUAUGGUGCUGAAAUUGACGCCAUUGUACGCAAGAUCAGGGGGUUUGCUGCUGUCUCACUCUCAGCAAGAGAUCCUAGAUCAGCGCAGCUUUCGAUUCCCGCGUCCUUUCGGAGUGGAUCUGGUCUGCUCGAACAGCUUCUGGAACAAUGGACCCUUCUUCCCUCGGCUUGGAGCCUUCCAAGAGCAUCUGCUUAACCUACUAGAGCAGGAGUCCUGCCAAGCCAGGACCAACAUCCUCAUCUUCCUGGACACCAAGAGAACAUGGGACUUCAUUCAAGGUGAGACAACAGACAAGUAUGUAUGCUGUACAGAGGAAGUUCACUGGACCAAUAGAAUUACUUCAACCAACAUCAAGGACAACAAAAGAACUUUAACAUCAAGAACUGAUGAUAAUGGGUCACGUAAGAUUGAUCGUCGUGCACAUUAACAUCACAUUUAGGGAACUGCAUGCACAUGCACAUAAUAAUAUAUGAGAAUGAAAUAUUCAGCAUUCAAAAAUGAGAAGAGGAUUCAAAAAUAAGAGGA